rnacentral:rRNA from 1 species
UAACGAAUAUUCCGCAAUGCGCGAAAGCGUGACGGAGCAAUGCCGCGUGUAGGACGAAGCCCCUCGGGGUGUAAACUACUGUCAGGAUCCAGGAAUUUUGACCAGAUCCAGAGGAAGGACCGGCUAACUCUGUGCCAGCAGCCGCGGUAAUACAGAGGGUCCAAGCGUUGAUCGGAAUCACUGGGCUUAAAGGGUACGCAGGCGGACAUGCAAGUGUGGUGUGAAAGCCCACGGCUCAACCGUGGAAUAGCACUGCAGACUGCAUGUCUUGAGCAUGGCAGGGGUCAUCGGAACUCUAGGUGGAGCGGUGAAAUGCGUAGAUAUCUAGAGGAACGCCAAAAGGGAAGCCAGAUGACUGGGCCAUUGCUGACGCUCAUGUACGAAAGCGUGGGUAGCGAACGGGAUUAGAUACCCCCGUAGUCC